CUGCCCCGGGCGCGUCGCAGCCCCGGACCAAGGCGCCCGCCGGAGGACCAACCCAAACUCUUAUUUGUACACCCCCUCGCGGGUUUGUUUUUUUUACUGUCUGAGCCACCUCGGCGCCCCUCGCGGGCGUUCCGAAAAAGAAUCAAAACUUUCAACAACGGAUCUCUUGGUUCUGGCAUCGAUGAAGAACGCAGCGAAAUGCGAAAAGUAAUGAAGAAUUGCAGAAUUCAGGGAAUCAUCGAAUCUUUGAACGCACAUUGCGCCCGCCAGUAUUCUGGCGGGCAUGCCUGUCCGAGCGUCAUUUCAACCCUCGAACCCCUCCGGGGGGUCGGCGUUGGGGAUCGGCCCUUUCACCGGGGCCGGCCCCGAAAUGCAGUGGCGGUCUCGCCGCAGCCUCUCCUGCGCAGUAGUUUGCACACUCGCACCGGGAGCGCGGCGCGUCCAAUGCCGAAAAACACCCAACUUUCUGAAAUGUUGACCUCGGAUCAGGUAG
rnacentral:rRNA from 1 species